GAUGAACGCUGGCGGCGUGCUUAACACAUGCAAGUCGAACGGAAAGGCUCCUGCUUGCAGGGGUACUCGAGUGGCGAACGGGUGAGUAACACGUGGGUGAUCUGCCCUGCACUUCGGGAUAAGCCUGGGAAACUGGGUCUAAUACCGGAUAGGACGAUGGUUUGGAUGCCAUUGUGGAAAGUUUUUUCGGUGUGGGAUGAGCUCGCGGCCUAUCAGCUUGUUGGUGGGGUAAUGGCCUACCAAGGCGUCGACGGGUAGCCGGCCUGAGAGGGUGUACGGCCACAUUGGUACUGAGAUACGGCCCAGACUCCUACGGGAGGCAGCAGUGGGGAAUAUUGCACAAUGGGCGCAAGCCUGAUGCAGCGACGCCGCGUGGGGGAUGACGGCCUUCGGGUUGUAAACUCCUUUCGCUAGGGACGAAGCGCAAGUGACGGUACCUGGAGAAGAAGCACCGGCUAACUACGUG
rnacentral:rRNA from 1 species